rnacentral:pre_miRNA from 1 species
AUAUGGGGUGAGGCAUUGUCGAUGAUGCUGUUGACGGAAGAUAGAGAGCACAGAUGAUGAAAUGCGUGGAGCUUGCAUCUCACUCCUUUGUGCUCUCUAUUCUUCUGUCAUCAUCUUCAGCCUCUCCCUUUACAUAACAUAU